GGGGAGUGGUUUGAAUCCUCCCUCGCUUACUCUCUGGGCCACUAUCUAUCUUAUAUACCAAUAAUUAUAUAUAUAUAUAUAUAUAUUUCAUUCCAUUAAUUCAUUCCACUUCCAAUUCAUUACAUUCCAGCAUACCAAACAGUCGGUCUUUCUGUAUCCUGAGAGGAGCAAAGAAUUAUAUGACCCCCCUCAGUGCUUUUAUAAUUUGUAUUAGAGUUCUGAAGAGUGCCAUCCAGGAAACUGCAAAUAAAUUUUAGACUCCAGUUCAGUUUUUGAACAUUUAUACUGGCAUAUGGCAUGUGCUGUGCAACUUGACCUGUCAAUGGUACGUUAUCAAUGGAUCGGACAGAAAUGAUCGAAGUGAGCUCGGGAGGACUGAACCAGACAAGUGGAAUGGCAAGAUCCCAGUCGAGCGGCUGCUCUUCAAUUUUGGCUGUGCUGAUGCAGCACGAAUUCGAGUGGUGUGCAGGGAAAGGUUGUGAUCUGAACACGACCUUCGAAGACCAGUUUGUUUGCUAAGGUCCUUUGCAGAGUGCGAGCGGGAAAGACCCUUUCCCUUUCCUUCUUGUAAUGCAUCUUUUACAGCUGCAGCUACUUGGGAGCUUGAAAUGCUGACUGAAGUGCAAGUCAUGGUUUGGUAUCAGAUGUUGUAUCUCUCACAAUGCUUCACAGAACCUGAAAAUGACCCAGUCUCUUUUAAAAAGAUUAUAUUGCUUAUUAUACAGGUUUC